GGAGGGUUGGCAGAAUGGUAAUGCACUGGUCUUGAAAACCAGCGGGUGCAAGCCCUUAGAGGUUCGACUCCUCUACCCUCCGCCA
rnacentral:tRNA from 1 species